ensembl:snoRNA small nucleolar RNA, C/D box 51
CUGGUUACAUGAUGAAUAAAAUCAAAUCACCAUCUUUCGGCUGAGCUCCUGAUGGAUUUGCUUUUUUCUGAUGAAACUG